CCUACGGGAGGCAGCAGUGGGGAAUAUUGGGCAAUGGAGGCAACUCUGACCCAGCAAUGCCGCGUGAGUGAUGAAGGUAAUUUUAUUGUAAAGCUCUUUUCUUGGGAACGAAGAAAGGACGGUACCAAAGGAAUAAGCCCCGGCUAACUACGUGCCAGCAGCCGCGGUAAUACGGAGGGGGCAAGCGGUGUUCGGGAUGACGGGGCGGAAAGGGUGUGUAGGGGGUUUGAUAAGUUAGAUGUGUAAUACCCAGGGCUUAACUCGGGUGCUGCAUCUAAAACGGUUAGACUUGAGGACUGGGGCGGAUAGUGGCAUUCCUCGUGUAGCGGUUGAAUGCUUAGAUAUUAGGAG
rnacentral:rRNA from 1 species